rnacentral:rRNA from 1 species
GUGUCAGCCGCCGCGGUAAUACGUAGGGUGCGAGCGUUGCCCGGAUUUAUUGGGCGUAAAGGGCGCGUAGGCGGUCACGCACGUCCGUUGUGAAAUCGCUCGGCUCAACUGGGCGGGGUCAGCGGAUACGGCGUGGCUGGAGCAAGCUAGGGGGCAAUGGAAUUCCCGGUGUAGUGGUGGAAUGCGUAGAUAUCGGGAGGAACACCAGUGGCGAAGGCGGUUGCCUGGAGCUUUGCUGACGCUGAUGCGCGAAAGCGUGGGGAGCGAUCCGGAUUAGAAACCCUCGUAGUCC